UACGUAGGGUGCGAGCGUUAAUCGGAAUUACUGGGCGUAAAGCGUGCGCAGGCGGCUUCUCAAGUCAGGGGUGAAAGCCCAGAGCUCAACUCUGGAAUUGCCUUUGAGACUGAGUGGCUUGAGUGCGAGAGAGGUGAGUGGAAUUCCCAGUGUAGAGGUGAAAUUCGUAGAUAUUGGGAAGAACACCGGUGGCGAAGGCGGCUCACUGGCUCGUAACUGACGCUCAUGCACGACAGCGUGGGGAUCAAACAGG
rnacentral:rRNA from 1 species